AAUCCAUGAUGUGGGCAUUUUAACUACAAAUCUUUAAAUCUCUCCCAACACUUGUAAAAUUUUUCAUUAUCUUUCUUGGUAAAAUUCAAAGAUUUCUCUCCUAAUAUU